AACCUGGUUGAUCCUGCCAGUAGUCAUACGCUCGUCUCAAAGAUUAAGCCAUGCAUGUCUAAGUAUAAAUACUUUUACUUUGAAACUGCGAACGGCUCAUUAUAUCAGUUAUAGUUUAUUUGAUAGUCCCUUACUACUUGGAUAACCGUAGUAAUUCCUAGAGCUAAUACAUGCAUCAAUACCCAACU
rnacentral:rRNA from 1 species